rnacentral:tRNA from 1 species
AAGGGUAUAGCUCAGUGGUAAAGAGCAUGCUUAACAUGAAAAGCAUCUUAACCUCCUGGGUUCAAUCCCCAAUACCUUCA